rnacentral:lncRNA from 1 species
GAUUUGGUCCGAAUUUUUAGUAAAGUGACCAAAAAACCUUAUUACUUUUUCUCUCUCCUUUUUUUUUCUCACAUUUAUUUUUUUUUCUCUCUCUGAAAAAGGCAGCGGAGACAGAGACUGAGGCGGAGGAGAAAAUGGCCUUCUUCGCCUCCGACCCCGCCGAGACUGCGCCAUGAUUCUUUUUUCUUUUUCCCUCUUUGACCUUCCUCCACUAUCUCCGAUGACGACGCCUCCCUCUGCCUCUCCGCCUUUGCAUGCCCUUCUCGCCCUCUCCCUCUCCCUCCUCUCCGCUUCCUCCGUUGCCUUCGUCGACAACGCCUCUCCGCCUCUGCUAACGCCGACGUCGCAGAGGUCUCGCUGCGGCGCCGCAGCCUCGGAGCGGGAGGUCCUUAGCGACGGCGUCGCCGGCGUCGUGGCUGUUGGCGGAGAGGUGUGAUUAAAAAAAAUUGUAGAAGAAGGAAGAAGAAAAAAAUAAAGAUAAAAAAUUAUAGAAGAAAAAAGAUUAAGAUAAAAUUGCACUGUUAAAAUAAAAUUACGUUAUUUAAAAAAUUUUGUGCACUAUUUUAAAUAAAAAUUGCUCUUUGAUACAGAAAUUAUACUCUUUGGGAUCAGAUUUACACUUUUUAGCUCUUUAGGUGAAAUUUACACAAUUUCUCUUUUCCUUCUUCUUCCUCCAAUUUACACUAUUUUUCUUUCUCUUCCUCUUUUUCGUCUUCUUCCUCUUCUUCUUUUCCUUCCACUUUUCCCCUCCACGUCAUCAUCCCCGACCUCUCGCUGCUCCGGUCCUCUCCUGCUGCCGCCGUU